rnacentral:rRNA from 1 species
GUGUCAGCAGCCGCGGUAAUACGGAGGGUGCAAGCGUUGUUCGGAAUCACUGGGCGUAAAGCGCGUGUAGGCGGCCUCCUAAGUCUGGUGUGAAAGCCCGGGGCUUACCCCCGGAAGUGCACUGGAUACUGGGAGACUAGAGUACCGGAGAGGAGGGUGGAAUUCCUGGUGUAGCGGUGAAAUGCGUAGAUAUCAGGAAGAACACCGGUGGCGAAGGCGGCCCUCUGGACGGAUACUGACGCUGAGACGCGAAAGCGUGGGGAGCAAACAGGAUUAGAAACCCCUGUAGUCC